rnacentral:rRNA from 1 species
UGGGGGAUAUUGCGCAAUGGGGGAAACCCUGACGCAGCAACGCCGCGUGAAGGAAGAAGGUCUUCGGAUUGUAAACUUUUGUCUUUGGGGAAGAAAAAAAUGACGGUACCCAAGGAGGAAGCCACGGCUAACUACGUGCCAGCAGCCGCGGUAAUACGUAGGUGGCAAGCGUUGUCCGGAUUUACUGGGUGUAAAGGGCGUGUAGACGGGACUUAAAGUCAGAUGUGAAAUACCGCAGCUCAACUGCGGGGCUGCAUUUGAAACUUAAGGUCUUGAGUGCAGGAGAGGAAAGCGGAAUUCCUAGUGUAGCGGUGAAAUGCGUAGAUAUUAGGAGGAACACCGGUGGCGAAGGCGGCUUUCUGGACUGUAACUGACGUUGAGGCGCGAAAGCGUGGGUAGCAAACA